UUUUAGAAGCCCUCAUAAAACACAGCAGUGGGGAAGUUGCAUAAAGCAGAGCUCUUUUCAACUCUUAAAGUUUUAUAAAGUAACCAUUUUGAAAAAAUUACGAAACAGGGGUUGAGUUUUUGCAUUUUAUACUUCUGCAACCUAAAACUUUACAUACCAUAAACCCAUCUUGCUCUCUUAGAUACAUCAAACAACAGCUAUUGCUUCUUCACUGUGAAGAAUACAAGGUUUCAUCAGAGCAGCCAAAAGAAUUUCAAGAGAAAACACUCCUCAGGUCCAAAUCUGUGCAGUAGCUUUAGACAACCUAUUUCUUUAUGUCAAAUAAUUACAUAUGGCAACCAAGAAAUACUGUCUCUUUUAGAGCUGGGAUGCAAUUUCUCUCUAAUUUCUACAAUGCUAUGGUUUUGUCCAAUUUUCUGAUACCUUAGUUCUUUGACAGAUACCUGAAUAGAUAACCUGCAACGAAAGUUCCCCAGGGCACUUGAAAACCAAUAUAUUAGGGGUACCUAGGUGGCUCAGUUGGUUAAGCAACUGACUCUUGGUUUCAGCUCAGGUCAUGAUCUCAGGGUCAGAGUGGAGUCUGCUUAAGAUUCUCUCUUCCUCUCCGUCUGGCCCUCCCCCUGCUUGCACACACUCUAAAUCAAUCAACCAAUCAAUCAAUCAGAUCUUUUUAAAAAUAGGAAUCCUUGAAAAUCAAUAUAUUUGCUCACUAAUUUCUUCGUUAAACCAUUGAACAUAUUUAUUCAAGCUUGUCAGCACACUAGAUAUUUGAGGUAGGGCUAUGGAUGUAGAGAAUGAACCAGGCAUUAUCCUUAUUCUCUUGAAGUUUAUAAAUUAGUAGGUUUACUGAUGAACAUAUUUUUUCCCAAGGACCUUAGGAAUGCUCUUCUCUGGGAGGUCUCAGUUCUAUCUGACACAAGUAGUUCCCUCAGUUUUGCCAAAAGCAUGCUUCUCUGGAAUUCUCAACACUGGCUAAGGUUCUGGAAUGUAUUAUCAUGGAAGCCAUCUACAACCUCAAGCUCAUAUGCUCUUGGGAUUGCCCAUGGCUGGAUCUGUGCUCGGGUGGGCAGCAGAGGACCAUUUACCAUGAAGCUAUUGAAGUUUGAAGUCUCAGAGUACUUUCAAGGGCCUGAGAAAGACUUCGGCAAUGUGUUCACAUGUUUGAAGUUUUUGUUUCAACAUUUUACAAAAGUGAAACAUAUUAAUUUCAACUGAUGAAGACUGGUGUCUCUUUCCAUGCCUACUACUCCUUCAUCACACUUCAUCUUCAGCAGUUCACCUCAGCAUGGCUGUGACUAUCUUUUGGGACCUGGCUACAGAAAAAUUAAAUUGGGAAUAUGCCAUAAUAAAUGAAAUUUGGAGGGAUGUUCUGGGAAGUUU
rnacentral:lncRNA from 12 species